rnacentral:lncRNA from 1 species
CUCGCGGCCACGAUAGGUGUCACCCUCUGUUGGCUGGGACGCAGGUCUCGGAUUCCAUCCCUGAGACAAGAAAGACGUGGCGAAGGCCCAGAGGUUAAUCUCCCAGAGAAGAGAAUAGAGGCAGCCAAGGAGGAUGCUGUUGAACCAGUUAGAAGAUUUUUGCAGUCAACCCAGCAAGAGAUGAUGAUAAUGUGAACUUGGGAAAUGGCACAGAAGAUAUAAAACAGAGGACAGAUUUCAGAGGUUCACAAUCUCUACUCUGCAAUUCCAAAAUAAGACAAAAACAG